UGAGUAAUGAUGACACUAGCAGUCCAGCCUGCAUGGAUGCUGACAUGGAUGCUGUCUCCCAUUCUUACCACUGGAUGGGAAGAAAUGCUAGAUGCAAUCCAGCCAGUCUGUACUCGACUGUCAGUUCCAUCUUCUCAACUCACAGUGUCUUCCAAAGUCCGUGCCACACCACAGCCUGGAACAUCUCCCAAGGUUUCAAAUAAUUCAUCAGUGAAUUCUUCUCAACCUGGUCAAUCAUGUGAACUUAGAAGAUGAUUCCUCCCCAGCUGAUCCUCAGGUGAGACAUCAGCCUUGGCCAUCAUCUACAUCUGGAUUCCUGACCCAGAGAAACUGGAACACUAAGACCCAUUCUUCUUCUCAAGUAUCCAAAAAUAAAGUUGAUCCAAGUAAGAAGUGGACAGCAUAAAAGAUUGUAUGGAAGCUAUAAUGCAUCUACAUCUGCAGUAACUAAUCAUAAAAUGAUUUGUAUGAUCAUUCUUCACAUGAUUAGAAUUACUAUGGGAAAGAAGAAAAAGAAAUGCCUCUCUGGAUGGUGACUAUAACCUAUAGCCUUGCCCAAUAUGACUCAGGAUUUGGUACUGGCUGUGCCUUUCAUGGGAUGCUUACUUAUCCUGGUCGAUGGCCUAAAGCCCAACCGUCCAGCUUAUAUCCAGGGAUAAACUCAGCCUGCGGGGCCUCAGGAAGAAGGUCGUAGCCAUUUCAUUGAGUCCAGGGCAGAAAAGUGGAAGAAAAAUGUGAAUGUGUUAAUUUGAGGACUUUAGCUCUGAGAGGUUUCAGGAUUCAGUCCAAAAUGCAGAAAACAAUAAAAAGCUCAAAAA
rnacentral:lncRNA from 1 species